AUGUACAUAAUUCUUGAAUUUGCUUCUUUUAAGCUCUCAUCUUCAACCACCAACCAUCUUUUCAUUCUCCCAACUUUUUGUGAGCUUAGUAACCCUUCUCAAUUCUUGCUCUUCUCCUUAUUCAAUAAUUCUACCCUUAUAUAUAUACUUACUUUAUACAUAUAUAAUAUAUCAAGAAAGCUUUAUAUUCUCUAAACUAUUUACAGAAAUAACUUUUCACAAGUUAAAAAGUCAAAAAAAGAAAGAAAGGAAGAGCAAAAUUAUUUAGUUUACAAAUUCAGAUUUUGAAGUCAUGGGUUUUUGGCUGUGGAGAUUGUUCUUUUUUGCCUUUGCUGAGAUUUUGCUCUUUCAUGGCUUCUGCUCAUCAGAGCCAGCUCCAAACUACAGUUUCCUACACCAAGCAACCUCCGCUCCGCCACUCUCCUACUACGACUACAUCAUCAUCGGCGGCGGCACCGCGGGCUGCCCCCUCGCCGCCACCCUCUCCCACAACUCGAGCGUCCUCCUCCUGGAGCGCGGCGGGUCCCCCUACGGAAACCCCAACAUCACCAACCUCUCCUCCUUCGGGAGAGCCCUCUCCGACCUCUCCGCCUCCUCCCCCUCCCAGCGCUUCGUCUCCGAGGACGGCGUCAUCAACGCCCGCGCCCGCGUCCUCGGCGGCGGCUCCUGCAUCAACGCCGGCUUCUACACGCGCGCCUCCUCCAGCUACGUCGCCGCCGUCGGCUGGGACAGCAGGCUGGUCAACGAGUCGUAUCGGUGGGCGGAGAAGGUGGUGGCGUUCCAGCCGCCGAUGAGGCAGUGGCAGACGGCGGUCAGGGACGGGCUGCUGCAGACCGGUGUUAGUCCUUAUAAUGGGUUCACGUACGAUCACUUGAUCGGGACGAAGGUCGGCGGGACCAUCUUCGACGGCGAGGGGCGGCGCCACACGGCGGCGGAUCUUUUGGAGUAUGCCAACCCCAAGGGCAUUACCGUCAUGUUGCAUGCUUCUGUCCAUAAAAUUCUCUUCACAACUACAGGGAGGAAGAGGGCGUCAGCUCAUGGGGUAAUAUUUAGAGACGCUUCUGGAAAUAAGCACAUAGCUUAUUUAAAUGAUGGAGAAAAGAAUGAGGUAAUAUUAUCAGCAGGGGCGAUUGGGAGCCCACAUCUACUAAUGCUAAGUGGGGUGGGCCCAUUGGACCACCUUAAGGCCCAUAAUAUAACAGUCGUUUUGGACCAGCCUUUAGUGGGCCAAGGCAUGGCCGACAACCCAAUGAACGCCAUAUAUAUUCCGUCGCCGGCUCCGGUGGAGGUGUCCUUGAUUCAAGUCGUCGGGAUUACCUCCUAUGGGAGCUAUAUCGAAGCCGCCAGCGGAGAAAACUUCGCUGGCGGCUCCACCCACAGAGACUUUGGAAUCUUCUCUCCAAGGAUUGGUCAGCUCUCAACAUUACCACCAAAGCAAAGAACUCCAGAAGCCCUAGCAAAAGCAAUCUCAGACAUGGAAGCCCUAAACCCCAUCGUUUUCAACGGCGGAUUCAUCCUCGAGAAAGUUCGAGGGCCCCUCUCCCAAGGCCACCUACACCUCGUAAACACAAACCCUAACGACAACCCUUCCGUCACAUUCAACUACUUCCAACACCCUCAGGACCUCCAGAGAUGCGUGGAGGGCCUGAGGGUGAUUGAGAGGGUCAUCCAGUCGAGGCCCAUGGCGCCCUUCAGAUACAACUCCCUCUCCCUCCCCGUCCUCCUCAACAUGACUGCUAGCUCGCCCAUCAACCUCCUCCCCCACCAUGCUAAUGUCUCCACCUCGUUGGAGCAGUACUGCAAGGACACGGUCAUGACCAUCUGGCAUUACCACGGGGGAUGCCAGAUGGGACGGGUUGUGGAUUCCGAUUAUCGGGUUAUUGGGAUUGAUUCGUUGCGUGUUAUUGAUGGAUCCACCUUCCGUGACUCUCCUGGAACUAAUCCUCAAGCCACUGUUAUGAUGCUCGGCAGGUAUAUGGGAGUGAAGAUUCUGAAGGAGAGAUUGGGAAAUUAAUGAUUGUGCUAGUCUUUUAUUUUCUCAUACGUAAGAAUGUAUUCAGAAGGAUGGAUUGUGGUGACACUUUUUUUUGGUAUAUGGGAGUGAAGAUUCUGAAGGAGAGAUUGGGAAAUUAAUGAUUGUGCUAGUCUUUUAUUUUCUCAUACGUAAGAAUGUAUUCAGAAGGAUGGAUUGUGGUGACACUUUUUUUUGGUAAUGCAAUAACUAAAUGAAUCUAUAAUAGCAUCCA